rnacentral:rRNA from 1 species
GUACCGGCGAGUGAAGCGGCAACAGCUCAAAUUUGAAAUCUGGCCUCUUUGGGGUCCGAGUUGUAAUUUGUAGAGGAUGUUUCGGGUACCGCCUCGGUUUAAAUUUCUUGGAACAGAAUGUCAAAGAGGGUGAGAAUCCCGUCUUGGACCGGCGGUAGGGCCCAUGUGAAACUCCUUCGACGAGUCGAGUUGUUUGGG